AUUUUAUAGCUUAUUUGUGUACUUAUUUAUUUGAUUUGUCAUUCCAUACCGGUUCGACCCUUUAAAAAUUGACCCCUUUUCUUUUUCGAGUCAAUGUUUGAGUUGAUUUUUAAAACAUUGGUUUGAAAACCAUAGUCCAAAAAAGAAGUUAAUUUCAUCAUCCGCACCAAAAUUAGUAGAGAGAAAAAGGAAAUACAAAAAAGUGAAUAACAUUUGUAAUUGAACAACAAUGCACUGGACAAUUCUGUACUGCCAACUUUGACACCUUGUUUGCUUCAGUAUUUGUUGUGCUACUGAAUCUCGACAAUCAUACAACUCAAUCGAUACAACAGCUUGAGAAUUUCAAGAUUGGGCAAUAAACCAAGAAUAAUUAUUUUUUUCCAAAGCUUGCAACAAUGGCCACUUGAUAGGAUAGUCCAAAAAACUUAGGACUCUUGUAUAUCAUUCAUUACAAUUACAAUGAGAUAUCAUCACUUGCGACAUUUUCUAUUUUACUAGUUAACAAAAUUCUACUUCAUAAUGCCUAUUUAAGACACGAAUAAAAAAAUAAAAAUUAUGAACAUUAACCAUCACAUCCAAUCGAUUUUGUUGACUUGUCAUCUCUUAUCUAGAGUCUAAUUGUGUAUACAACAACUAAAAUCAUCUAAAGUCCGAUAUUCCACACAUCAUCUAUUACAAUGAGGUAUCUUCUACCAUAUUUUCUAAUCCACUAACUAAUCUACUUUGUAUCAUUUGUAAAUACAUUUAUAUUCCAUAUAUCAUCCAUGACAAUGAGAUAUCUAUUUCCCUUUAGUAGCGAUAUUUUAUAGUCUACUAAUUUGCAAGAUUCUACUUUCACAUCAUUCGUAAAUGAUUGUUUCGUAUCGUCUUGUCUCCAGUAUUCCAUAUCUCGUUCAUCAUUUUAUGAUUUUGAAAUAUCGUUGUUUAGAUACUAAUACCAAAUGAUACAUAAUAAAUUUAUAAAUAUAAACUUUUCUAACCUAAGUUGUCUUGCCGAGUCCUCCGAUUCCAACAAUAAAGAUUGCAUCAAGUUUUGAGUCUUGAUCUUUACCAAAUCAUCGUCAAGAUCCGCCCAAGUGAUCUUGUCUUUGGGCGUAUGCUUGGAUGAACCAGUACAAAACAUAGUCCUUGAUUGUAAAUCUUCUUCGUUAGUCUCUUUCUCAUCCUCAAUCGCCGAACCUUCCGUUGUUCCCCUGCUUAUUUCGAAGAAAUUUCAAGAAUAUCUCCCAAGAAACCAAAAGGGCUUCAAAGAAGCUGCACUUCGUUGUUUCUUAUCAGAUCUCAAAUAAAUAGAAAAUAUGUUGAAAGUAACUUGCAAUUUCUUAAUGGAGGGACAGACUAUUUAUUAUUUUAUUUAACAGUCAGAGAUCUCUAGAAAGAAGACCGUAGAAAGAAUAUAAAAUAAUGAAGCAUCGUUGAAACCGCGUG
rnacentral:lncRNA from 1 species